GACGAACGCUGGCGGCGUGCUUAACACAUGCAAGUCGAACGAUGAAACCUAGCUUGCUAGGUCGAUUAGUGGCGAACGGGUGAGUAACACGUGACUAACCUGCCCCUUUCUCUGGGAUAACGCUCCGAAAGGAGUGCUAAUACCGGAUACUCACACCGAGGCACAUGCCUUGGUGUGGAAAGUUUUUCGGAAAGGGAUGGAGUCGCGGCCUAUCAGCUUGUUGGUGAGGUAACGGCUCACCAAGGCGACGACGGGUAGCCGGCCUGAGAGGGCGACCGGCCACACUGGGACUGAGACACGGCCCAGACUCCUACGGGAGGCAGCAGUGGGGAAUAUUGCACAAUGGGCGCAAGCCUGAUGCAGCGACGCCGCGUGAGGGAUGAAGGUCUUCGGAUUGUAAACCUCUUUCAGUAGGGACGAAGCGAAAGUGACGGUACCUAAAGAAGGAGCACCGGCUAACUACGUGCCAGCAGCCGCCGUAA
rnacentral:rRNA from 1 species